GGAACUUAUAGGUGGCUUCAUUGGCUUCCUAUCUCUUUUUACAAAAAGCUUGACCAUUUGAUCAGCUGUGUGCCUGUGUUUGUAUGUUAUGGAUUCUCCAUCAAAGCAAAUGAAUCUGUUGGCAGAAGAUCUGGAAUUUGUUUAAAGUAGCUGACGCUAAGCAGAUUUCUGCCAUGGCUCGUCGUACGUUUGACAAGAGUGGCCCUUUGUUAGUGGUGGCAUCUGGUCGUGAUACUGUUUCUGUCGCAAGCUCCGUUGGACGAACUAGCUAUGGAAUAUGUUUUUGUUGUUCAGUUAAGUCUCUUCCUUGUAACAAAAUAGAUUAUUUCAUAUUUCAUGAAGUUCGGUUGGAAUAUUUGUUACUUUAUAUUCAUUUUUACUUCAUUUUAGAAUAGAAAACUCAGGUGAGUUGAAAAUGUCGUAAGAAUCGGUAAAAACCCCUAUACAUGCCGCUUUAUUAUUAGCUAAUAAUUCAUUAUUAUUUUUUUUAUUUUUUUUGCUAAUAAUUCAUUUUUGCCUUCUUUCUCUUCCUCUUCGUCCAUGUAUCAUCCAAGUUGGUCCUUGCAUGUGAAUUUGACAAUUCAGUGACGACUGACGAGUGAAUUUCCUUUAAAAGAAUAGCGCCGUUGUCAAAGAACAAAAAACAAAGAAAAAGAAUAGAGCAACCUGUCAGCAAGCGACACGCUAUCUACAUUUCAUUUUGGUACCCAAAUCGACUUUUCGGACCACACAGAGUCCACCUUUCAGCGUUGUAUGACUUUAUCGACAUCUUUUUAUUAGUGUUAUAAAGUUUUUUUUUUGUAACCUACUGUUUUAUG